rnacentral:rRNA from 1 species
AACGCUGGCGGCAGGCCUAACACAUGCAAGUCGAGCGGAUGAGUGGAGCUUGCUCCAUGAUUCAGCGGCGGACGGGUGAGUAAUGCCUAGGAAUCUGCCUGGUAGUGGGGGACAACGUUUCGAAAGGAACGCUAAUACCGCAUACGUCCUACGGGAGAAAGUGGGGGAUCUUCGGACCUCACGCUAUCAGAUGAGCCUAGGUCGGAUUAGCUAGUUGGUGAGGUAAAGGCUCACCAAGGCGACGAUCCGUAACUGGUCUGAGAGGAUGAUCAGUCACACUGGAACUGAGACACGGUCCAGACUCCUACGGGAGGCAGCAGUGGGGAAUAUUGGACAAUGGGCGAAAGCCUGAUCCAGCCAUGCCGCGUGUGUGAAGAAGGUCUUCGGAUUGUAAAGCACUUUAAGUUGGGAGGAAGGGCAGUAAGUUAAUACCUUGCUGUUUUGACGUUACCAACAGAAUAAGCACCGGCUAACUUCGU